AAUCGGUGAUGAAUGUGGCCAAGUCCGAGCAUCAGAAGACCACCCAGUGUACCUGAUGCAUGAUCUCUGUAGUUCUGAGA
ensembl:snoRNA